rnacentral:misc_RNA from 1 species
AAGUCGUAACAAGGUCUCCGUAGGUGAACCUGCGGAGGGAUCAUUAAAACGUAUCCACGUAUAAACCUUUGUGAAUCUGUUUUCUAACGAACGUGGCGAUAACGCUAAAGAACUGUAAUGAAUCAAUCAGGAGGCGAUUCAUAACAGGAGUUGUCGUUUUUCACGUCUCCUAUUUUCACUUUAUUAACCCUAUGUAAAUUUUUAAUGCACUAACGAGUUUUAUGCUAACGCAUUUAACUUGAAAACAUAAAAAAUUAUAGCACAACUCUUAGCAACGGAUAUCUAGGCUCUC